rnacentral:rRNA from 1 species
UGCAGUCGAACGAAGUAGCAAUACUUAGUGGCAGACGGGUGAGUAACAUGUGGGUAUCUUGCCCUUUGGCCUGGAAUAACACGAGGAAACUUGUGCUAAUACCGGAUAAGUCUUUACGGAGAAAGCUUUAUGCACCAUCGGAUGAGCCCGCACUUGAUUAGUUUGUUGGUAGGGUAAUGGCCUACCAAGACUGUGAUCAAUAGCUGAUUUGAGAGGAUGAUCAGCCACAUUGGGACUGAGACACGGCCCAAACUCCUACGGGAGGCAGCAGUGGGGAAUCUUGCACAAUGGAGGAAACUCUGAUGCAGCGAUGCCGCGUGAGUGAAGAAGGCCCUUGGGUUGUAAAGCUCUUUCGUCGGGGAAGAAAAUGACUGUACCUGAAUAAGAAGGUCCGGCUAACUUCGUGCCAGCAGCCGCGGUAAUACGAAGGGACCUAGCGUAGUUCGGAAUUACUGGGCUUAAAGAGUUCGUAGGUGGUUGAAAAAGUUGGUGGUGAAAUCCCAGAGCUUAACUCUGGAACUGCCAUCAAAACUUUUCAGCUAGAGUUUGAUAGAGGAAAGCAGAAUUUCUAGUGUAGAGGUGAAAUUCGUAGAUAUUAGAAAGAAUACCAAUUGCGAAGGCAGCUUUCUGGGUCAUUACUGACACUGAGGAACGAAAGCAUGGGUAGCGAAGAGGAUUAGAUACCCUCGUAGUCCAUGCCGUAAACGAUGUGUGUUAGACGUUGGAAAUUUAUUUUCAGUGUCGCAGCGAAAGCGAUAAACACACCGCCUGGGGAGUACGACCGCAAGGUUAAAACUCGAAUGAAUUGACGGGGACCCGCACAAGUAGUGGAGCAUGUGGUUUAAUUCGAAGAUACGCGCAGAACCUUACCAACACUUGACAUGUUCGUCGCGACUUUAAGAGAUUAAAGUUUUCGGUU